AGAAAGAUUGUAGAAAAAACUUUAUUACGGCGUUAUUGUGUUUACACUAGGGAUGUCAAUAGAGACGAAUAUUCGAAAUUUUAUCUGAAUUCAAAUUUGAACGUAACGAAUUUAUUCGAUAUUAAAUGGAUAUGGUUUCAUAUAUGAAUAUCAAAAAUAAAAAUCUGACAGAUAUGGAUAUGGAUACGAAUAUAAAUUUUGACUGUAUCUGACCGAAACUUAAAUUUAUUUUAUAUUAUAUUUAAUAUGCAUAUAACAAUUUGAUGUUAUAUUUAAAUUUGUAUUUUAAAAAUUUAAACCUAAUGUAAUAUAGUUUGAAAUAUUGAACAGAGAAAUAAUUUUAUAUUAUUCUGGACGGAUUGAGGCAAAAGCCCUAUCAUCCUGGAUUCAUUUGCAUCCAUAGGAAUAGGGUUUGGACUAAGGACAACCAAGUGAAGAAAGGUAUGGACGGGUGAGCCGAUUUCCGUUUUGUGUGAAGACGCACUCGAGACCACUGAUUCCCCUCUUUCACAACUGUGGUCGUAGCCAGUACAUAUUAUCCACGAUCUUGGCGAACUAAGAGCGCGAUCGAAUUGCACGUUACGCCACCGGCCAUCAACCGAGUGCCUCGUGUUUGGUUUGUAUCAAGUUAGUACCUUGUUAUUUUAUUUUUCUCUUAAUAAAAUAUUAAAACACAGGGUACUAAAGUGAGAAGUGCAAAACCAUAGGAUACUAACUUGAAACACUUUAAACCAUAAGGUACUAAAGUGAGAAAGUGUGAAAUCACAGGAUACUAACUUGAUACACUUUAAACCACAUGGUACUAAAGUGAGAAAAAGUGAAACCACAAUGAAGGUAUUUGAAGUUUCUCCUAAAAUAAAAAACAAAAGUUGCUACUAUUUGAAUCAU
rnacentral:lncRNA from 1 species